rnacentral:rRNA from 2 species
GUAGGUGGCAAGCGUUGUCCGGAUUUAUUGGGCGUAAAGCGAGCGCAGGCGGUUUUUUAAGUCUGAUGUGAAAGCGUUCGGCUCAACCGAAGAAGUGCAUCGGAAACUGGGAAACUUGAGUGCAGAAGAGGACAGUGGAACUCCAUGUGUAGCGGUGAAAUGCGUAGAUAUAUGGAAGAACACCAGUGGCGAAGGCGGCUGUCUGGUCUGUAACUGACGCUGAGGCUCGAAAGUAUGGGUAGCAAACAGGAUUAGAUACCCUGGUAGUCCAUACCGUAAACGAUGAAUGCUAAGUGUUGGAGGGUUUCCGCCCUUCAGUGCUGCAGCUAACGCAUUAAGCAUUCCGCCUGGGGAGUACGGCCGCAAGGCUGAAACUCAAAGGAAUUGACGGGGGCCCGCACAAGCGGUGGAGCAUGUGGUUUAAUUCGAAGCUACGCGAAGAACCUUACCAGGUCUUGACAUACUAUGCAAAUCUAAGAGAUUAGACGUUCCCUUCGGGGACAUGGAUACAGGUGGUGCAUGGUUGUCGUCAGCUCGUGUCGUGAGAUGUUGGGUUAAGUCCCGCAACGAGCGCAACCCUUAUUAUCAGUUGCCAGCAUUAAGUUGGGCACUCUGGUGAGACUGCCGGUGACAAACCGGAGGAAGGUGGGGAUGACGUCAAAUCAUCAUGCCCCUUAUGACCUGGGCUACACACGUGCUACAAUGGAUGGUACAACGAGUUGCGAACUCGCGAGAGUAAGCUAAUCUCUUAAAGCCAUUCUCAGUUCGGAUUGUAGGCUGCAACUCGCCUACAUGAAGUCGGAAUCGCUAGUAAUCGCGGAUCAGCAUGCCGCGGUGAAUACGUUCCCGGGCCUUGUACACACCGCCCGUCACACCAUGAGAGUUUGUAACACCCAAAGUCGGUGGGGUAACCUUUUAGGAACCAGCCGCCUCUAUGAGUGACUUG